GACGAACGCUGGCGGCGUGCCUAAUACAUGCAAGUAGAACGCUGAAGGAGGAGCUUGCUCUUCUGGAUGAGUUGCGAACGGGUGAGUAACGCGUAGGUAACCUGCCUGGUAGCGGGGGAUAACUAUUGGAAACGAUAGCUAAUACCGCAUAACAGUAGAUGUUGCAUGACAUUUGCUUAAAAGGUGCAAUUGCAUCACUACCAGAUGGACCUGCGUUGUAUUAGCUAGUUGGUGGGGUAACGGCUCACCAAGGCGACGAUACAUAGCCGACCUGAGAGGGUGAUCGGCCACACUGGGACUGAGACACGGCCCAGACUCCUACGGGAGGCAGCAGUAGGGAAUCUUCGGCAAUGGACGGAAGUCUGACCGGGCAACGCCGCGUGAGUGAAGAAGGUUUUCGGAUCGUAAAGCUCUGUUGUAAGAGAAGAACGAGUGUGAGAGUGGAAAGUUCACACUGUGACGGUAUCUUACCAGAAAGGGACGGCUAACUACGUG
rnacentral:rRNA from 1 species